GACUCUCCACAAUGGAUAUCUCGGCUCUCGAAUCAAUGAAGAACAUAGUGAAAUAUGAUACUUGGUGUGAAUUAUAGAAUCUUGUGAAAUAUCAUGUCUUUGAGUUCAAGUUGUGCCCAAAACUAUUAGGCUGAGGGCACAUCUCCGUAGGCAUCA
rnacentral:rRNA from 1 species